rnacentral:tRNA from 1 species
GUAGUGGUGGUUCAGUGGUAGAAUUCUUGCCUUCCAUGCAUGAGACCUGGGUUUGAUUCCUGGCCAAUGCA